AAGUCGUAACAAGGUUUCCGUAGGUGAACCUGCGGAAGGAUCAUUAACGUAUCUGCCCUCGGGGGUGAGGGCGGCCCUGCUCCGGCACUCGCCGCGCAGCGGGUCACCUCCCCCCGAUCACAACAAACCCACUGUGCACCUUUCGUGGUGGAGGGUGUGGCGCAAGCCCGCCCGAAGCCGCGGUCUCACAGACUCGUCCUGGAAUGUCUUGCGGACUCGUUCCGCCCAUAAACAAAACAACUUUCAACAACGGAUCUCUUGGCUCUC
rnacentral:misc_RNA from 1 species